CCCUUAGAUGUCCUGGGCCGCACGCGUGCUACACUGACGCUUGCAACGAGUAAUCCCCGGGUCCGAGAGGCUCCCGGUAAUCAGCAAUAGGCGUCGUGAUGGGGAUAGACCCUUGGAAUUAUGGAUCUUGAACGAGGAAUGCCUAGUAAGCGCAGGUCAUUAGCCUGCGUUGAUUAAGUCCCUGCCCUUUGUACACACCGCCCGUCGCUCCUACCGAUUUCGAGUGGUCCGGUGAGCCUUUCGGACUGCGCUCGCCCUCGAGGCGUCGCGGAAAGUCAGGCAAAUCUUACUACUUAGAGGAAGGAGAAGUCGUAACA
rnacentral:rRNA from 1 species